AUGGGCUUACGGGGCGCAGCAGUGGGGGAUAUUGCACAAUGGGGGAAACCCUGAUGCAGCGACGCCGCGUGUGGGAAGACGGUCCUCUGGAUUGUAAACCACUGUCCCCAGGGACGAAGAUGACGGUACCUGGGGAGGAAGCUCCGGCUAACUACGUGCCAGCAGCCGCGGUAAUACGUAGGGGGCUAGCGUUAUCCGGAAUUACUGGGCGUAAAGGGUGCGUAGGUGGUUUCUUAAGUCAGAGGUGAAAGGCUACGGCUCAACCGUAGUAAGCCUUUGAAACUGGGAAACUUGGGUGCAGGAGG
rnacentral:rRNA from 1 species